rnacentral:rRNA from 1 species
UACGUAUGGAGCAAGCGUUAUCCGGAAUUACUGGGUGUAAAGGGAGCGUAGACGGAUCUGCAAGUCUGAUGUGAAAGGCGGGGGCUCAACUCCUGGACUGCAUUGGAAACUGUAGAUCUUGAGUGCCGGAGAGGUAAGCGGAAUUCCUAGUGUAGCGGUGAAAUGCGUAGAUAUUAGGAGGAACACCAGUGGCGAAGGCGGCUUACUGGACGGUAACUGACGUUGAGGCUCGAAAGCGUGGGGAGCAAACAGG